CAGUAGCCGCGGUAAUACGGAGGGUGCAAGCGUUAAUCGGAAUUACUGGGCGUAAAGCGCACGCAGGCGGUUUGUUAAGUCAGAUGUGAAAUCCCCGAGCUUAACUUGGGAACUGCAUUUGAAACUGGCAAGCUAGAGUCUUGUAGAGGGGGGUAGAAUUCCAGGUGUAGCGGUGAAAUGCGUAGAGAUCUGGAGGAAUACCGGUGGCGAAGGCGGCCCCCUGGACAAAGACUGACGCUCAGGUGCGAAAGCGUGGGGAGCAAACAGGAUUAGAUACCCGUGUAGUCCCUGUCUCUUAUAU
rnacentral:rRNA from 1 species